ACAAAGCCUUUGCUGAAAAUACGACUUCAUUAUAUCAAUGUCCAGCUGUGCCAAGUUCUGUUUGCGUUCACUGCGUAUGACAGCCUUGCAGAUGAGGUGCUAUUGUCAGAAUCAGGUGGCUACUGGGUUACAUCAAGCAGAAAUCACCAGAGCUUACAAGUAUAUGGUGUUGAUCCCUUCUCCUGCUCACUGUCUUCAAGAGCUGCACCUGAUUCCUCACUGUAAUACUGUCAAGUACAAGACCUCCUUUUGGCACAGUUGAACGGCCUUUGAAUUCGUGUAUAGUGUGCUGUCUUGCAGUCUGUUACCGUGGUUGCCAUCCCAUUCAUGCUGUUGUGACUUGAGUGGUGCUCUUGUGGUGCAGCCACCUUACCCUUCACACAUGUAAAACUUCAUGGCCACAGGUCUGUCAUUAUUGUUGUACAAAAUUUCUGUUAUCACUCCAUUGCAGCAAGAUGCAUUGUUCACCAUGUGGCUGUGGAUCAGCAGAAGCAUCCUUAGGUAGAAUUGGCAAACUGUGCUUGUGUGCACCCAUAGUGACAAGCUUGUGUUUGUGAGUAAACACACUGUAUGACGAGUUUUCCAUGUUGGAUGGCUUGCCUUCAAGUAAAGGCAAGUAUUUUGCAGAAAGCUACAGUGUGUCUGACACACUGCUUUCUCAAAUAACCUCCACACUGCAGAAAGUGCACCUGCAUAGGGGAAUAAUCCUAUGGAAAUACACGGUCCUAUAUAUUUCGCUUAACAUGUUUGAAAAAAGAUUUUGCACUUACCGCUGCACUGUUCUUGCAGAAGUUUUGCAGAAGGAUUCCAGUUUGGAGUCUACGUUGUUCAGUGUAACACUUGCGGCAGUUAAUUGCCUGGUUUUUAAAAAAUGUGCAAAUUUGCCUUAGCCUUUGGGAAUGCGAGCUGCUGCCAUGACGGCACAAGCAUAAACUUGUGUCGCAGCUUGCCAGCAGCUGCAGAAAGCAGCGUUCCAGGGAGGACUGCCGCAUGUUGCAGGAGCAAGCAACACAUGGCAACCUUCCCAGACCGGCAGCUUUCUGUAGCUGCCGGUAGGCGGCGACACAAGUUUAGGCUUACACCGUUGCGGCAGCAGCUCGCAUCCCCAUAAGCGAAGGCAAAUUUGCAAAUUUUUAAAAACCAGGCAAUUAACUGUCGCAAGUGUUACACUGAACAACGUAGACUCCAAAAUUAAAUCCUUCUACGAUAUUUCGAGCAAGAGUAGUGCAGCUCAUGCAAUGGUUUUCGAAGUGUUACCACACAAAAUUAUCAAAAUGGUCACCUCAUUUUGUUGCGCAAAAAAUGCAGUUCUUUCACAUUGUAGCUUCAGCAUCAUACCCCUACACCAAGUUAACACGCUUUCUUGCUGUCUUCAUAUUACCAGACUAGAUGGUAUAAAGCUUUCUUGUGGUGUGUUGAGUAUACUGCUAGUAUGCUCAUGAGUUUACGCAUGGCAUUUAAUGGGAUGGGAACAUCAUGCAUGAGGCACAGCGUGAUGUUGCACUUCUGUGUGCACUCUUAUGCCUGGAGAAUAACUAUGGAUUUGGUGUCAUGGAAAAUUACAAGCACGAUUGACGGCUCUCAACUUGAAUGCUGAUGUUUGCAUCCAGCCCUCAUCUGUGUGACAUCAUUCCCUGCUCUUAUUUAUUGGGCAGUCUUAUUUAUGACAGCCAUAGAACAGGCUAUAUCAUCAUGAAAGAAUGAUCUUAUCCUACAAGUGCACUUUCAAAUUAACUAAAGCAUGAUGACAUCACGUGUUUGUGGUGGCAGCAGAAGGCAACGGCCAUUUAUUGCUAUUGCUUUGUAUUCCCCUCGUCAGCCAGUCAAGUUUGAUGUGUACACACUUGCAUGCCUGCAGCAAGUGUCUGUGUCUUCAAAAUGUUUCCAAACAGGUUGUGCUGCUCAACUGGGUGCACACUAUAUUCAAGAUGAAUAAAUCCUAUUUAAGC